UACAGAGGGUGCGAGCGUUGUCCGGAAUUACUGGGCGUAAAGGGCGCGUAGGCGGUCCGAUAAGUCGGGGGUGAAAGUCAGCGGCUCAACCGCUGGACUGCCUUCGAGACUGUUAGGCUUGAGCAUGGUAGAGGCUGGCGGAAUUCCCGGUGUAGCGGUGGAAUGCGUAGAGAUCGGGAAGAACAUCGGUGGCGAAGGCGGCCAGCUGGGCCAUUGCUGACGCUGAUGCGCGACAGCGUGGGGAGCAAACAGG
rnacentral:rRNA from 1 species